GUGAACAUACCUCAUGUUGCCUCGGCAGGUCGCGCCCCCUCGUAGGCCCUACCCUGUAGGGCUUACCCGGACGGCGCGGGUACUCCUGCCGGCGGCCCACGAAACUCUGUCUCAUCGUUGAAUUCUGAACCUAUAACUAAAUAAGUUAAAACUUUCAACAACGGAUCUCUUGGUUCUGGCAUCGAUGAAGAACGCAGCGAAAUGCGAUAAGUAAUGUGAAUUGCAGAAUUCAGUGAAUCAUCGAAUCUUUGAACGCACAUUGCGCCCAUUAGUAUUCUAGUGGGCAUGCCUGUUCGAGCGUCAUUUCAACCCUUAAGCCCUUGUUGCUUAGCGUUGGGAGCCUACGGCACCGUAGCUCCCCAAAGUCAGUGGCGGAGUCGGCUCACACUCUAGACGUAGUAAUUUCUCACCUCGCCUAUAGUUGGACCGGUCCCUUGCCGUAAAACG
rnacentral:rRNA from 2 species